CUAAGCUCCCAGGGUUGGGCGCAGCCCUGGGCGCUCUGCCCAUCGUUUUCGCGGGUCCCACACAGUGUUCGUGCGUGUCGUGUUUCGGCGUCAGCGGAGGAUUAGGCGCUACGUGUAACCGGGGAGAGCCAUGUCGAGGUCGGUUUCAGAUUGCUUUUGACCGGCUCUUCGCCCCGUCUUUCUCUUCCUUCUCUUUGCUUUCUUCCAGUUCGUCGGCUGAGCGGCGACGGGGCGUGCUGGUUUGGGUGGUGCUGUGGUGGUGGCUGGGCUGCGGCGGCGCUGCGCUGGCCGCGCGUCUUCUCCGUGGCGGCUCCUCCUUGCUGGGAUCCGCCGGAGUGCUACGUGUCAAUGGAACUAGGCAUAGUCCUGUGUGAUCUAGACUCUCGAUGGCUUUACUCCCGAUUUCUCCAACCGUGACGGCGCUUGCCAGACCCAGGACUGCGGAGGCCGAUUAUUGCCGCCCCGCUCCGGUGCUCUCUUCCCCGGCAGGCCGGGAGCUGGGCCGUCCCUCUCCUCUCCUUCUACCCGUUCGGCUGUUCUGUUGCUACAGAUGGGACGCAGUGCCCGUGCCGCCACGAUCAGUCAAGCAGGCAAUGUCCAGGGCCGGCCGCCAGCGAGGUGGAGGAGCUAGGUACCAUCGCCAUCAACAUAAGAUCAGUACUCUUUUCUUAGUCUUCUCUUCCUUAGUUGAUCUGCUCCUAAACUGGUCUAUUUGUACCACAGUGUGACUCUGUGUUGUUGACUUUAUAUUCAGAUGGCGGCAACGAGGAUGUGCACGGACUGGGAGUAGUUUUUUUUUUGCGCAUGUGCAUGUAGUUGUGUAGGAUCGGAUGGCCAGCUGACCAUUGGCCUGGCCAAUCCGCGCCUGUGCACUUGUGCAGCCAUGUCGUGCGCUGCUGAUUAGUGAUUACUGCUUCCGGUGAAGAUCUAGGCAGGUGGGCAUGGCAUUGGCUUGUGCGUCAAGGUUCGAAAAGCCUCCGAUGAGUAUAGCUAUUUAUCUGAACUGCUGAAAUUGAUGUGAACCACUGAAAUUUCUACUUGUCAAUUUGUAGUGUGUAAUUGUGUGAUGUUAGUGUAGGAGCCAUUCAGAGAUGUUGUUCAUUUAAUUGUCACAUCAGGUUACGUCCUUUUUAUAUUUUAGUCUAACAUAUAUAUAUUUCUAUUGUAGGUAGGUGAAUACAAUAUUGUAUUAACUAUUAACGAGACUGGAUAACCAUAUGACUAAGCGAGCGCGGGCUCUCUUUUGGAGUUUCACAGUAUGGCGCAGAUACAAAGGUUGGGUUAGAUUUGGAGUAAAUUUCAAAUGUUCAGAUUCUUAGGUUUUCUACCAUAUAUUAAACAAUAUGAGCAAAAACAAAGUAUACAUGAAUUGCUGAGUUCUCUUCUGGUUUUUUGUGUGAUGUUAGUACAGAUUUUAUCACUCAAAUAACCAAUUAUCAUUAGUGAAUCAAGUUGGUUAUGUCCUUUCGAUCAUCUCAUAUGGUAUCUUUUCUAAACGUAGGCUGUUGUGAUGAGAAUUGGCUAGGCAUCUACUGCAUACCCUUUUGUUUUAGCGAAUUGUCUCAUCACCUCUUAGUCCAUGGAAGCAGCUUAACAUAAUAUUGGCCUUUUUUUAGAACAACGUAAUAUUGGCAUACCUAACCUGAGAAAAUAAAGAGAACUAAGUGCCAGUAUAAAGAUAAUUCAAUCUGGAGUAUUCCAUAUGCACGCCUUACAAAGAUUGGAUUAAACAUGGCAAUCAAUCAACUUAUGUAUUACCCAUGCCCACUUUUAAAUGCCAUGCUAUCCAUGUAGCAAUUAUUUAAUAUAUCUGCCAUGACACAUAUCCUUCUAAUGGCAUCCAAGAAUGAAGAAAUACUGACUUUCUUGGUGCUGUAUUGGCAGUAUAUAACAAUUUAUUAUGUCAUAUUGGUUGAAUCCUUCUUGCAGAAAUUGUACAGAAUCUAGGAGAAGUUCUCCGCAGAACCAUUUGGGUGUCCUGUUAUGGAACCAAAUAUUCCUGGUAGCUUUGGUUAUUGUCUGCUUAACAAAACAAUGUAAGAUCACUUUUGUUUGCUAGAGAAUCUUAUGAGCCACAGGGAGAACGAAUCCAGGUUGGUUAAUUUUGUGAAUUGUUCAAUUGCCUAUUCUAUUCCAACACCUAAGUUUGUUGUGUGAUAAAUAUUACUUUGUCCACCCAAAUUUUCCGUGAGGUAAUUAGAAUGAUUACAUUUUUUUAGAAUUUCUAUGUGCAGAUAAGAUAAAUUCGAAUAUGAUAUUCAUAUGAGGUGCUUGAAGAAUUGCUCCCAAAGAGCUCAGUGUGAGCUGAGUCUGGUUUCAGCUCAUGCAGUAUGAGUUAAAUUAAUAUGUGUGCUUGUUUUCUAAAGCAUAUUUAAUAUCAUCUCUUGGAUUUUAAAUAUGAAUUUAUUACUAUCAUUUUUCUUCUUUGUCUUCUACAAGUAUCAGUUGGUUCUUAUAAACAAUAGUGGCUUGCACAUGAGGAUGGUUGUGUGAAGCUAUGCAAUUUUUUGAUAUUCGGCACAAAUUUCUGUUCGUUCUUUCCGUGUAGAUCUCCCUGGACGGUGUUUUAAGAUUCAUUUUAAGUGAAAGAAAAAGGUCAAACUAGAAGCCACCAGUUUAGACGUGCAUGUUUAAGUUAGACUUGAGUGCCCUUAGGUAAUUGGUCUAUGUCUUAUUUUAGUUUUUUUACUAAUUUUUGAACAGUCUUAUUUUAGUUGAUGUUUAGCUGACCUUUGUGUUAGCCACUGAUUAAAAUAUGUUCACUCUUUUAAAUAACAAAUUGAUUUAGGUAUCAAAUUUCUAUCCUGACAUGUAAUGGUUGCUAAGUAAGCAUGUUUAUUCUCAAUGAAGAGCUAAAGCUAUCCACUAUACUUUAAAUAAUUGAUGGUAAUAUAUAUUCUGCUGUAUCUAACAGGAACCUGAAGUUCCGAGAAUCAACAUUCAAGUGAUUCUUCUCAUCCAUGCAUAGUUGUAGGUGUGACUAGCCCACAUUUCAGAAAGGAUGGACCAUCCGUUUAUACUUCUCAAUCCAUUCUUCUGUAACAUUUUUGCAUGUAACAAAUAUUUGUUGGGCACAAACAUACAAGUGUAAUGUGCCUUUUAUCUUUCUGACACACGGCUAAAACUUCAAUUCAGUACACUGAUGGUGUACACAAUGACAUAUUGAUCCAGACUGUUGAAAAAAUCAUUAGGGUUAAAAGCAA